UGAGACAGGUGCUGCAUGGCUGUCGUCAGCUCGUGUUGUGAAAUGUUGGGUUAAGUCCCGCAACGAGCGCAACCCUUAUCCUUUGUUGCCAGCGAUUCGGUCGGGAACUCAAAGGAGACUGCCGGUGAUAAACCGGAGGAAGGUGGGGAUGACGUCAAGUCAUCAUGGCCCUUACGAGUAGGGCUACACACGUGCUACAAUGGCGCAUACAAAGAGAAGCGACCUCGCGAGAGCAAGCGGACCUCACAAAGUGCGUCGUAGUCCGGAUCGGAGUCUGCAACUCGACUCCGUGAAGUCGGAAUCGCUAGUAAUCGUGGAUCAGAAUGCCACGGUGAAUACGU
rnacentral:rRNA from 1 species